rnacentral:other from 1 species
UAUUGCCUGCGGCGUGCGUGACUGCCCUUAAAUCCCUUUGAACCUAAAUUUGUAACCGGGGAUUAAAAGCGAUAACUGUUGUGCAAGUCCGGCCUGACCGGAAAGCCUGAUGAUAUCGUGGAAUCCCCACUUGAACCCUCUGGUUCAAGGUCACAGGGUGGCACGGCGCUUGCGGGUGGUAC